rnacentral:tRNA from 3 species
GGGAAUGUAGCUGAGAUGGAUUAGCGUCAGAUUGAAGCUCUGAAGACGCAGGAUCGUUACCUGCCUUUCCCA